CAAUAUACAUUAGUUUAUGGGGAAAUGACGUCCUUCGUGAAUCAUUCAUAAUUGUGCGAAAAACGACCAACGAGUAGGAACAAAUACUCGGUAGUCUAGUAAUUCGCAUAAACAUUAGAAUCGUACACAUAUUUAUCACAGUAUAUUGUUCAGGGACGGCGCGAACGCAGUCCCGCUACCAAAAAUUACGUGUCCGAGAUAUUCCAAUUUGGAAUACUCGCAGGGGUCAACCGUCCCGAUGUGCAAUGGGAAAGUCUCGUCCUGGAGGAACCGCCUCGGUGAUCACGGUUGACCUCGACACCAAGUAAGUAUGCCCGAUGCUCUCAGAGUACCCCGUUAAGUAACCCG